UAGGGAAUCUUCCACAAUGGACGCUAGUCUGAUGGAGCAACGCCGCGUGAGUGAAGAAGGUUUUCUGAUCGUAAAGCUCUGUUGUUGGUGAAGAAGGAUAGAGGGAGCAACUGGGCUUUAUUUGACCGUAAUCCUCCGGAAAGUCACGGCUAACUUACGUG
rnacentral:rRNA from 1 species